GAUAAAAGAACCUGUCUCGGUAGCCAAGGAGACUGCCUGUAGAUCACACAAGGAUUCUAAACCAAGCUUAGCUAUAGCGCCACAUUAUAUUUAGAGAGAGAGAGAGAGCCCUUGGGAGGCUGCAGGCAAGUCAUCCUUGGCUACAAAACAAGGCUCUUUAUC
rfam:Prunus persica cultivar Lovell chromosome G1, whole genome shotgun sequence.